rnacentral:rRNA from 1 species
AUGAAGAGGAAAAAGAAGGAGGCGCUGCGGGGAGAGGCGGCGCCAACAAUUGGUAUCAGAGCUUGGUUGUCUUGGGGCGUCGUUGCUCUUGCCGGCCGGAGGCGUGCCGACAGUGGCGGCGUCCGUCAGCGGCGCGCGAUGAAGUUCCGGGGCCAUGUGUCGGCCUAUGGAGGUGCACGGCACCGCGGCGAGCGUGGCGGCGCUGCACGGCGGCAUGGAGGCUGCGGAGCUCCUGCGUGGCGGCGCGGUGGACUCCAUGUGAUGCGGAGGUUGACGGCGCGAGGUGGAGGUCAUCGGCGGCGUGGUGCUGCUGGUGGCCAGUUGCGGUGUGAUGCUGCUAGAUUCAAGACGGCGUGGUGA